GAUGAACGCUGGCGGCGUGCCUAACACAUGCAAGUCGAGCGAACAGACGAGGAGCUUGCUCCUCUGAGGUUAGCGGCGGACGGGGGAGUAACACGUGGAUAAACUACCUAUUAGACGGGGAUAACCUCGGGACACAGGAGCCAAUAACGGAGAAUAUAUUGAACUGCAUGGCUCAAUAGUGCAAGACGGCUUUGCCGUCAGUCAUAGAUGGAUCCGAGCCGCAUGAGCUAGUGGGUAAGGGAACGGCUUACCAAGGCGACGAUGCGUAGCCGACCUGAGCGGCUGAUCGGCCACACUGGAUCUAAGACACGUUCCCGACUCCUACGGGAGGCAGCAGUAUGGAAUCUUCCCCAAUGGCCGCAAGCCUGACCCAGCCACGCCGCGUGAGUGAUGAAGGCCUUCGGUUCGUAAAGCUCUUUUAUUCGGGAAGAACAACUGUCUCAGUAUCUAUGCCCGUCUUGACGGUACCUAAUCAAAAAGCCACGGCUAACUUCGUG
rnacentral:rRNA from 1 species